GUCAUCAAAAGCUGAUGAAUACUGCUGAUAAACUGACAUGCCUGUUCUGACUAAACCCACUGAAAUAACCAGGGUAGCAGGGAAGUAUCUACCUUCAAGGUGAUAAGAAGGAUGAGAAAAUGGUUUGUGAAGUUCCCAUUAGCAUACAAAAGCAGCAACAUCUGCUGGGAGUUUAAGAGGCUCAUUGCUGUCACUUAAUCAGCACCACAGGCUACAGUUGGCCACCUCUGCCCUUGUCAGCACUCAAGAUAUAAGGAGAUACUGACAACAACUGAUUGCUUACUGCAGAGCUAUUAAAAGAUGGGGAGAAGGACACAUACAGCCCUGGAGCCCUGUGGAUUAUUUUUCCAUCCACAGACACCCCAAACCUCACUCUGACUACUUUCAGCUUAGCACACUCUCCCCCAUAACUUUCCUCUGCUGCUGCCACAAAAUAACACUUUCGUUCCUGAAGCCUUCUGGGGAUAGCAAAAUUCAACCUCCUUGUUGCUGCUACAAAACUCAGAAAGCUUCUUAGAGACUGAAAGACAGAAUUAAUUGAGAACAUUAACAGUGUAAUUGCUCCACAGAGGUUUGGGGAAGGAAAUCCCAACUCUAACUCCCGUUCAU